rnacentral:sRNA from 1 species
AACCCUUGAUGUUCUUCCGCUCCGUGCUCCGCGCUCACAUAGUUUCUAACAAUUCUUUCAUGUAGCUCUUAAUGUUCUUCCACUCCAUGCUCUGCACUCAUAUAGUCUCUAACAAUUCUUUCACAUAGCUUCUUAUGUUCUCCCACUCUGUGUUCUGUGCUUGUGUAGUCUCUAAUGAUUCUUUCAUAUAGCUCUCAAUGAUUCCCCCACCUCACAUUCUGCACUUAUAUAGCUUCUAAUGAUUCUUAUGUGUACUUCUUAAUGUUCUUCCACUCUGCACUCCACUGUGGAGAGGCUUCUGAUAUUCUUUCAUUCUGAACUUUCUUCUAUAAGAAUUCUCUUUGUAUGAUCUUUUCUUCUGAUUUCUUUUCUCUUUCUUUUCUUAAUCAAUUUGUAAUCUGUAAUUAGGAU